rnacentral:rRNA from 1 species
UACGUAGGGUGCAAGCGUUAAUCGGAAUUACUGGGCGUAAAGCGUGCGCAGGCGGUUCUGUAAGUCUGUCGUGAAAUCCCCGGGCUUAACCUGGGAAUUGCGAUGGAGACUGCAAGGCUAGAAUCUGGCAGAGGGGGGUAGAAUUCCACGUGUAGCAGUGAAAUGCGUAGAGAUGUGGAGGAACACCGAUGGCGAAGGCAGCCCCCUGGGUCAAGAUUGACGCUGAGGAGCGAAAGCGUGGGGAGCGAACAGG